GCUUAAAAUGAUGCUACAAUUAUCACGACGGUCAACGUAGCCAAUUGGCAUUGACGAUAUCGCCUGUGACAAGGCACUUGUCUGAAA
rfam:Beauveria bassiana D1-5 contig00653, whole genome shotgun sequence.